CCUGAAUUUAAGCAUAUUAUUAAGGGAAGGAAAAGAAAAUAACUAUGAUACCCGCAGUAAUGGCGAAUGAAGUGGGUAAAGCUCAAGCUUAAAAUCUAGUCUCUUUUGAGAUUCGAAUUGUAGUGUAAAUUAACAUUAAUAUGGUCAUGAUAAUUGCCUAAGUGUGAACAUCUGAAUUUCCUAUCAAAGACGGUGAUAAUCCGGUAUGGUAGUUUGAUUGGCUAAAUAUUCUUGUUAUUUAAAGAGUCGAGUUGUUUGGGGAUUGCAACUCUAAUAAAGGUGAUAGAUUUCAUCUAAAGCUAAAUAUAUUAGGAAAACCGAUAGCAAAGAAGUACUGUGAAGGAAAGGUGAAAAGAACUUUGAAAAGAGAGUUAAAAAGUGCUUGAAAUUGUUAAAAGGGAAGCGAAUGAAAAGAAUUAACU
rnacentral:rRNA from 1 species